UACGUAGGGGGCAAGCGUUGUUCGGAAUGACUGGGCGUAAAGGGUGCGUAGGCGGUAGUACAAGUUAGAAGUGAAAUACCCAGGGCUUAACCAUAGAACUGCAUUUGAAACUGUUAUUCUAGAGUAUGGGAGAGGUAGGUGGAAUUCUUGGUGUAGGGGUAAAAUCCGUAGAGAUCAAGAGGAAUACUCAUUGCGAAGGCGACCUGCUAGAACAUAACUGACGCUGAUGCGCGAAAGCGUGGGGAGCAAACAGG
rnacentral:rRNA from 1 species